rnacentral:rRNA from 1 species
AUUGAACGCUGGCGGCAGGCCUAACACAUGCAAGUCGGACGGUAGCACAGAGGAGCUUGCUCCUCGGGUGACGAGUGGCGGACGGGUGAGUAAUGUCUGGGGAUCUGCCCGAUAGAGGGGGAUAACCACUGGAAACGGUGGCUAAUACCGCAUAACGUCGCAAGACCAAAGAGGGGGACCUUCGGGCCUCUCACUAUCGGAUGAACCCAGAUGGGAUUAGCUAGUAGGCGGGGUAACGGCCCACCUAGGCAACGAUCCCUAGCUGGUCUGAGAGGAUGAGCAGCCACACUGGAGCGGAGACACGGUCCAGACUCCUACGGGAGGCAGCAGUGGGGAAUAUUGCACAAUGGGCGCAAGCCUGAUGCAGCCAUGCCGCGUGUAUGAAGAAGGCCUUCGGGUUGUAAAGUACUUUCAGCGGGGAGGAAGGCGAUGUGGUUAAUAACCGCGUCGAUUGACGUUACCCGCAGAAGAAGCACCGGCUAACUCCGUGCCAGCCGCCGCCGUAA